rnacentral:misc_RNA from 1 species
GAUGAAGAACGCAGCGAAAUGCGAUAAGUAGUGUGAAUUGCAGAAUUCAGUGAAUCAUCGAAUCUUUGAACGCACAUUACGGCCAUAGGUAUUCCUUUGGCCAUGCCUGUUCGAGCGUCAUUUACACCCUCAAGCCUAGCUUGGUGUUGGGCGUCUGUCCCGCCGUUCUCGCGCGCGGACUCGCCUCAAAGUCAUUGGCGGCGGUCGUGCCGGCCCCCUCGCGCAGCACAUUUGCGCUUCUCGGAGGCCCGGCGGAUCCGCGCUCCAGCAAGACCUUUCACGACUUGACCUCGGAUCAGGUAGGGAUACCCGCUGAACUUAAGCAUAUCAAUAAGCGGAGGA